rnacentral:rRNA from 1 species
AAAUAGUACUUUGCAGAGAGAGUUAACAGGGCGUGAAACCGUUAAUUGGCAAACGAAUCGGAGCCACGAAGUCGUUUCGCUGAGCAGGGUUGAGUUCAGCCUAGGACCUCGGUCCUAGGUGUAUUCUUGGCCCAGCCGUUGUAAGCGUACACUGCAACCAGUUAGACGAUUGAUGAUGGGCCCAGUUGGGUUAGUAGUAGCAUGGUGUGCCUCGGUGCAUUUGUGUUGCUGGGCCUGAGCAAGUGAACUAUCAUCAAAUACUGACUGGCUAAAUGAAAAUCGCGAAAGCGUUUCACAAAAAGCGUCCAGGCACAUAGCCGCUUACACAAUUGACCAUGGGGUCCUAAGCUCGGCAUUUUUGAAUUUAGGCUUGCUUGCUACCAAUGGGGCAACUCUUGGUGCUUGUAUAGUUUCUAUCUAAUCGGGUGUUGACUUGAUUCUGUGUCGUUUGGUUGUGAAGUGUUGGGGCGGCUAUGCGACCUGGUUUGCAAUUAUUGGCAGUGAGUAGGUCGGCUUUCCGAACGACCCGUCUUGAAACACGGACCAAGGAGUCUAAUUAGGCAUCAAGUCGAUCGGUCUUGAAUAGGCCAGACUUGGGGGCUCCCCCUAAUUGAAGGCGUAGAGACAAUCAUGUGAUCAUUUGGGCAAACCAGUCCUUUUGCGCAACAUGUGCCUGUUCGUAUAGCAAUGUAGCAAUAAUUGCUGAGCGGAGCAAAGAGAUGUCUGAUUGGUACCCGAAAGAUGGUGAUGCCUGGGCAAGUUGAAGCCAGAGGAAACUCUGGUGGAGGACUGUAGCGAUUCUGACGUGCAAAUCGAUCGUCAGACCUGGGUAUAGGGGCGAAAGACUAAUCGAACCAUC